GAUGAACGCUGGCGGCGUGCCUAAUACAUGCAAGUCGAGCGAACAGACGAGGAGCUUGCUCCUCUGACGUUAGCGGCGGACGGGUGAGUAACACGUGGAUAACCUACCUAUAAGACUGGGAUAACUUCGGGAAACCGGAGCUAAUACCGGAUAACAUGUUGAACCGCAUGGUUCAACAGUGAAAGACGGUCUUGCUGUCACUUAUAGAUGGAUCCGCGCCGCAUUAGCUAGUUGGUAAGGUAACGGCUUACCAAGGCAACGAUGCGUAGCCGACCUGAGAGGGUGAUCGGCCACACUGGAACUGAGACACGGUCCAGACUCCUACGGGAGGCAGCAGUAGGGAAUCUUCCGCAAUGGGCGAAAGCCUGACGGAGCAACGCCGCGUGAGUGAAGAAGGUCUUCGGAUCGUAAAACUCUGUUAUUAGGGAAGAACAAAUGUGUAAGUAACUAUGCACGUCUUGACGGUACCUAAUCAGAAAGCCACGGCUAACUACGUGCCAGCAGCCGCGGUAAUACGUAGGUGGCAAGCGUUAUCCGGAAUUAUUGGGCGUAAAGCGCGCGUAGGCGGUUUUUUAAGUCUGAUGUGAAAGCCCACGGCUCAACCGUGGAGGGUCAUUGGAAACUGGAAAACUUGAGUGCAGAAGAGGAAAGUGGAAUUCCAUGUGUAGCGGUGAAAUGCGCAGAGAUAUGGAGGAACACCAGUGGCGAAGGCGACUUUCUGGUCUGUAACUGACGCUGAUGUGCGAAAGCGUGGGGAUCAAACAG
rnacentral:rRNA from 1 species